AUGAUGCUGAAAGCAAAGAAGGAAAUCCCUGCUCCUCCCAAAGCCAAAUCCAAAGCUAAGGCUUUUAAGGCCAGCAAGGCAGUGUUGAAAGGCAUCCAGUCACACACACAAAAAAAUAUCUGCAGGUCACCUAUGUUCCAGUAGCCCAACACACUUUGGCUUUGAAGGUAGCCCAAACAUCCUCAGUAGAGAACCUGCAGGAUAUACAAGCUGGACUAUUAUGCCAUCAAGUUCCCCUUGACCACUGAGCUGACCAUGAAGAAGACAAUACCACAUCUGUGUUCACUGUGGUUAUCAAAGCCAACAAGCACCAGAUCAAACAGGCUAUAUGAAGGUCUGUGACACUGACAUGACCACGAUCAACACCCUAAUCAGGACUGAUGGAGAGAAGGCAGCCUAUGUUUGACUGGCUCCUAACUAUGAUGUUUUGGAUGUUGCCAGUAAAACUGGGAUAACCUAA
rnacentral:lncRNA from 1 species